CCACCACCACUACCAGUGGACUUUGAGAUAGUCCUUGAAUUGGUCAUCCCAGUAUCCAGUGUGCCCCCAAAUUUCAGUGAUGUACUCAGACAAAUUCUGAAAAAUGUCUCAUUCCCCCAAACCAUCUCUGGGUCUCUAAUAAUAACAGAGCUGAACUUCACCACAUGGUGCUAUCCAAACUCCACUGGAGGACUGCAGUGUCAGUGUGAGCAGCAGUUUGCUUGGUCAUGUGACAAGUGUGACAAAUAUGGUGCCUGUAGUGAUGUCAUCUCCCAGACCUGUGGGUGCAUAGCAGGGCUUCCUCCUGGUGGAGAGUUCUGUGAACCAAUCACAAGUAUCACUCCAUGUUCAACACCAACACCACCAACACCAUCACCACCAACACCAU